rnacentral:tRNA from 1 species
AGCCCUGUAGUGUACUACGCAGAUUGCAAAUCUGAAGAAGCGGGUUAAUUCCCGCCGGGGCUU